CUAGCAGAUUAAUGGGUGAUGUACUUUCUCCACUUUGAACUAUCAAUUUAGGGGUGAAAGCAGAAGGAAGUUCUUAGCUUAAAGGUUUUUGAAUAAGUAAAAAACACAAUGUUUUAAACUGGACAAUUUAUAAUUUACUUUCAGAUGGCCAACUUAGCAUUUAUACGAGGUCAGCUUGAAAAUGCAGAACAACUUUUUAAGGCAACAAUGAGUUACCUGCUUGGAGGGGGUAUGAAGCAGGAAGACAACGCAAUAAUUGAAAUUUCCCUGAAGCUGGCCAGUAUCUAUGCUGCUCAGAA